rnacentral:lncRNA from 1 species
AUUUGCUGGGUAUGGUGUGGUAUCAAGCAAAGUCCCUCAGGGAAGGUUUAUCCUUCAGGAGAACAUGGAGUGUGAGUUAAAUCUACGAGUCUUUCUGCUCCAGUCCAAUCAAAAGGUAAAAGGUACAUCUGAGCUGGCUCAACUAUUGGGGCAUGAUAUGGAUCAAUGGGGGAGAUGACAGC